rnacentral:rRNA from 1 species
UACGAAGGGGCUAGCGUUGCUCGGAAUCACUGGGCGUAAAGCGCACGUAGGCGGCUUUUUAAGUCAGGGGUGAAAUCCUGGAGCUCAACUCCAGAACUGCCUUUGAUACUGGGAGCUCGAGUCCGGGAGAGGUGAGUGGAACUGCGAGUGUAGAGGUGAAAUUCGUAGAUAUUCGCAAGAACACCAGUGGCGAAGGCGGCUCACUGGCCCGGUACUGACGCUGAGGUGCGAAAGCGUGGGAGCAAACAGG